rnacentral:lncRNA from 1 species
UUAAAUCUAUAAAAGAAAGGAAAACCUAGAGAUUAAUGAGUUGGAUAGAGAUAUGUUAUAUGAUACUCCCUCUAGAAUGAAAUAUAAGCAAAAAUCAAAUGACGCCAUAAUGAUCUACUCCCUCUUGAAUGAAAUAUAAGCAAAAAUAGGAUUUAAAAAGUUGAUAAUCCAUGGUUGUUGUCUUUCUUAACUUAAUUCCAGGUCCUUGUUUCUGUGAAAUUUAGUAGAUACUAGCUACAAGUGAACAUUCAGCACCAUGCUUCUGGUUCUUUAUGUUUUUACAAUAAUCAGAGUAUAUCCUGAACAUUUGACCUUAUGUGCUCAUAAUUUCUUAAACUGGUUUUCUUUCCUUUUAGAUAAAUUGUUAUUUUUUCUGCUUUUUGUUUUCAAUUUAAUUCAGGGAUUGGAUUAUGCGUUGAUGACUGGAGGGGAUGUUGCUCCACUGGGAUCGCAGGCUGUAACAAAGAUACACCAAUUGUUUGAUUGGGCCAAAAAGUCAAAUAGGGGUUUACUGCUUUUCAUUGAUGAAGCUGAUGCAUUUCUGUGCGAGUAAGGAGUGCUUCUUCCAUUCCAUGUUUUUUCUUAUAUUAUCCUUCUCUUUGCCUUUGGCAACAUUAAAUGAUUAUGAUCUGCUAGAUUCCAGCAUGGACAUGACUUCGGAGCAUAUUUCGUUACUUUUAAAAACUCCAAAGAGUGUGCAAAAGUUGCAUUGUUAUUGAAACUAACAUUCUUUGAGAAUUAUCUGAGUAAAUUGAUUGAAUUUUUCAGGCGGAACAAGACAUAUAUGAGUGAAGCACAAAGAAGUGCACUAAAUGCCCUUCUCUUCCGCACUGGUGACCAGUCUGAAGACAUAGUCCUUGCCCUUGCGACAAAUCGUCCCGGUGACCUAGAUUCAGCUGUUGCAGACCGUAUUGAUGAGGUCCUAGAAUUUCCCUUACCCGGAGAAGAGGAACGUUUUAAACUUCUUAAGCUCUACCUGGACAAAUACAUAGCGCAAGCUGGAUCACAAAAAUCCGGUUUAUUUUUCAAAGCAAACCCACAAAAGAUAGAGAUUAAGGGAUUGACCGAUGAUAUCAUAAAGGAAGCGGCAGCUAAGACCGAUGGAUUUUCCGGAAGGGAAAUAGCGAAACUGAUGGCUAGUGUCCAAGCUGCUGUGUACGGAAGCGAUGACUGUGUGCUUGACCCAAGCUUGUUCCGUGAAGUGGUAGAUUAUAAAGUUGCUGAACAUCAACAGAGAAUAAAAUUGGCAGCUGGUGAUAAAGCUAGUUAGUGCAUGAUGAGGAUAUAUAUUCAUAGAGAAAGUUUCUGUUAUUAAUCUUUUAAUGUAGGGCUGUUCUGUUCUUAGCAUGCUGUCAUUCAUUGUUUAUCCCUAAUUGAUGGGAAGAUUUUGAAAUUUAAAUAUAGGCUGAUAAUCACUAUUGAAUAUUUGAUUCAUCACUGGUUGUAACUCCUGAUUCAGGUUUUGCUAACUAUCAAGUUGAGAAUUAUUUUUCUCACUUUAUGACUGAUCAUAAACUAGGGUGAUCGAGGAGAGGUUUAAUUUUUGGUGUAAGUUUUUAUUACAUAGUCACAAUAAUAAAUUAUAUGAUUUUAGGGGUUUCAUUAAUAUUUAUUGUUGUUGUUGAGUAUGCGAAGCUCUUGUUAUUAAAGAAUGAGGAUAUUUAGUUCAGUGGAGCAUUGAUCAAUUACUGUCAUCUUGACAGUUAAACAAGACAUGAACAUUUAUUAAUAUGAAUAUUGAAUUUAGUUGUCAAACUAAAAUAAAAUCGAAAUCCAAAAAUAUCAAACAAUAUUAUUUGACAAAAGUUAUGUCCAAACCCAUUUUUAUAGAUGAAUGUUAGUAAUAAUUGGAUAUGUUAGUUUUUGAAGAUUAAAGCUUAGACCUCCUAAUUAUAACUUUUAGACCUUUCUUAGCUCUAAGCAAUAUAUUGAGACCUACUAAUUAUUUUCUCGCAUAAAAGACCUAAUCAAUAUCAAUUUUCAUUUGAAUUAUAACAAAUAGAAUUAUUUAUGUAUAAAAAAAUAUAUUCAAUAAUAUUUUAAUUUUUAUAUAUUUUUGGUGUAUUCUUUUAAAGUUGUUAGUUAAAUUAUAAUAAUUAAAUAAUUAAAAAUGCAUAUACUAAAAUAAUUUUACUUGAUAUUUCAUAAUGGUUUAUCAUAUUUUACAUGCUUUAAAUGAAUAGUAUAUAUUUAUUUUGAUUUAAAAAUAAAAAUAAAAUAGUCAUUAUAUUAUUUAAAUUAUCACUUAUGAAAAUAACGAGAAUAAAAGUUGAAUAAAUUAAAUGAUAUUUUAAAAAUAAUUUUAUAAAAAAAUAACAUAGUUAGACGAAUAUGAAAAAAUAUUACAUUAAGAAAUUUCUUUUCUUAUUUCAACUCAACAAUUUUUUGAAACAAAUUAAUAUCAUCAAGAAAUAUAAUGAUAAAAACUUAUGAAUAAAAUAAAUUUAUAAAAGAAAUUAAAUGUUUGUUAAGUUUUAAUAAUACAAAAAUUAUAAAUGUGUUAUAUGUACACGUGGAACUUACUAUGGUCCAUUAUUUUAGAGGCCCAAUUCGCUAAUUCUAGAGGCCCUGGUCCAUUAUCAUCAUCAUCAUCUUGUCUUUCUCACCAUGCUUAGUCUUGCCUCUUAACCGGAAACCAAAAACAAACAAUUGAUCCGAGUUCAGUUUCGUAUCAAAGAUUAACUAACCAUGUCAUUCAUCAAAUCAAGGCUACACUUCCACUUGCAACACUCUCUUUCCCCACUAUUACCAUAUCAACAUCUUCAUCUCUCCUUUCAGAACCUAAUGCUACAAACGACACUCCUCAAAACACCACCAACAUAUCUCCCGAAGACUCUCAAAUAGUCGACAAGUUUCACACCGCAAUUAAAGACCAUUACUGCAAAAACCCUAACCCUAACCCUAACCCUAACCCCCUUCCACCUUCACUCAAUCUCUCCAUACCCGAUCUUUCAAUUCAUUUUACUCAAAUCUCCACCGUUCAUUCAAUUUCUCCCUCCAUUGCCCGCCGCGUCAUCGAGAAAUGCGGCGGUGUCCGCCACGGUAACCCGUUCCUCCAAACCCUAGCCUUCUUCAACUAUGCCACCACGCUCGAAGGCUUCCCUUCUUCCCCUGAGCCUUAUAAUGAGAUGAUUGACCUGGCCGGAAAACUGAGACACUUCGAAUUAGCAUGGAACUUAAUCGAUUUGAUGAAAUCACGCGGCGUUGAAAUUACAGUCGGCACGUUCGCUGUUCUCGUCCGGCGUUACGUGAGGGCUGGAUUGGCUGCGGAGGCGGUGCACGCUUUUAAUCGUAUGGAAGAGUAUGGUUGCACGCCUGAUAAGGUUGCAUUCUCAAUUGUGAUUAGUAGUUUAUGUAAGAAGAGAAGAGCGAGUGAAGCUCAAUUAUUUUUUGAUAGUCUUAAGCAUAGGUUUGAACCUGAUGUUAUAGUUUACACUAGCUUAGUUCACGGUUGGUGUCGUGCUGGUAAUAUAUCGAAGGCUGAGGAGGUUUUUAGUGAUAUGAAAGUGGCGGGAAUUAAGCCUAAUGUUUAUACUUAUAGCAUUGUGAUUGAUUCGCUUUGUAGGUGUGGACAGAUCACUCGUGCUCAUGAUGUUUUCGCUGAGAUGAUUGAUGCUGGUUGUGAUCCUAAUGCUGUUACUUUUAAUAGUCUUAUGAGGGUUCAUGUGAAAGCUGGAAGGACUGAAAAGGUUUUGCAGGUUUACAAUCAAAUGAAGAGACUCGGUUGUGCUGCUGAUACAAUUAGUUAUAAUUUUAUCAUUGAGAGUCAUUGUAAAGAUGAGAAUCUUGAUGAAGCUGUGAAGGUUUUAGAUACAAUGGUUAAGAAAGGGGUCGAUCCUAAUGCAAGCACUUUCAAUUCAAUUUUUGGAUGCAUAGCUGAGUUGCAUGAUGUGAAUGGUGCACAUCGGAUGUAUGCUAAAAUGAAGGAACUUAAGUGCAGGCCUAAUACGUUGACGUAUAAUAUACUGAUGAGAAUGUUUGUUGACUCAAAAUCUACUGAUAUGGUUCUGAAGUUGAAAAAGGAAAUGGAUGAGAGUCAAGUUGAACCAAAUGUGAAUACUUACCGGAUUUUGAUUUUGAUGUUUUGUGAAAAGGGGCACUGGAAUAAUGCAUACAAGUUAAUGAAGGAGAUGGUUGAAGAAAAAAGUCUAAAACCAAAUCUUUCGAUUUAUGAAAUGGUUUUGGAGCAGCUGAGGAAGGCUGGACAGCUAAAAAAGCAUGAAGAGUUGGUCGAGAAGAUGGUUGCUAGGGGAUUUGUCUCUCGACCUUUGUAGAAGUUGCUUCGUCCUUGACAUCAUUGAGUUGAAUCAAAGAACUUCCGAGUAUGACUAUAGAAUGGCCGUGUUGCUAAUUACUAUAAGUGAGACAGAAUGUUGGUUUAACUGGUUGUAUUGUUUUUAUUAUUGUAAGUUGAUGUUGUCUGAUAGCUUAAUAAAUCAUAUCCAUUGUCAUGGAAGUUUGAGCUUCAUGAUGAAAUAAGUUUAUUUCGUUGAAAGUAUGGCCUUAAACAGCUGACUAUUUGUGUGAAAGUGAAACCUUGUCUGCUCCUGUUCUCUGUGUCUUGUGUUUUGUUUUUCCAGCUUAUCAAUUAGUUUGCCACUUUGCCUGACAGGAAAGACAAAGGUUUUUAUACGAAGAAGAAAAAAAGCUGGCCCAGAUGAAGGCGCAAACAAAAUCCCAGAUGGAUAAAUAUGAGGAUGAGUUGGCAAGGAAGAGGAUGCAGGUAAUACAUUAAACCUUUUGUAAGUUGGGAGUUUUUUUUGUCAUCUAUUGAGUUGUUUCUUAUUCUUGCAUAUGAUUGUCAGUCUGAACAUGAGUACCAUAGAGUAAGGAACCAAGAGCUAGCAAAAUUGCAAGAAGAAUCAUCAAUCAGACAGGAGCAAGCUCGACGUGCAACAGAAGAACAAAUUCAAGAACAACGAAGGCAAACUGAGAGGGAAAAGACUGAGAUCGAACGUGAAACAAUCAGAAUAAGGACUAUGGCAGAAGCAGAAGGGAGAGCGCACGAAGCAAAGCUAUCUGAAGAGAUGAACAGGCGAAUACUAAUUGAACGUGCUAAUGGAGAGCAAGAAAAAUGGAUUUCUAUCAUAAAUACUACCUUUGACCAUAUUGGAGGUACAUUUUUACCAGAUGCACACUAUAUAUUAUGCAAUUAGUAUUUGUGGAUUUGAGUGCAUGUACUACAACAUUAUGUAUAUAUGCUUUUAAUUUUAAAAUGAAAUUUCACGUAGAUAGUUGUGGUAAUGGUAUUUUAUCAUUUUUACUUUCACCAUGUUGUUUAAUCAUUAGUCGGCAUGAUUGUAGUUUGUGAGUUGUAUUAUUGUUUACUUUUUUCCUCGUUAUUUAUUGGUUCCCAUUACGUGAUGCAUUGUAGCUUAAUUGGAUGAUGAACUUAAUCAGUAUUUUUGCUUGGCUGGGUUAGACCAACUCCUAACCAGUCCCCAAAUUUGAAAAUUCAAGCUAUCUUUUUCAGGGGGUAUAAGAACCAUUCUAACAGAUUGAAAUAAGUUGGUUGUAGCAGUUGGUGGAGUGACUGCUCUGGCAGCGGGCGUCUACACAACAAGGUAUGAAGUGUCCAGAUAGUGUGAAUGGGCUACUAAAAAUGAGAAAGGAGGGCAAAAAAGUAACUGGGUGUUAUAUUGCCUGGCCUAGUCCAUUAUUAGAGAUAAUACAAUUUUAAGUUUUUACCUCUAUUUAUCAGACUAUUCCUUAUUUCAGUGCCAUAUUUGCAUGCUAUGCAUAAUUUAUAUUCACAUUGAACGUAGUGUAGGGAAGGCGCACGGGUUAUUUGGGGAUCCAUUAUUAGAGAUAAUACAAUUUUAAGUUUUUACCUCUAUUUAUCAGACUAUUCCUUAUUUCAGUGCCAUAUUUGCAUGCUAUGCAUAAUUUAUAUUCACAUUGAACAUAAUGUAGGGAAGGCGCACGGGUUAUUUGGGGAUAUGUUGAUAGAAUAUUGGGACAACCAUCAUUGAUCCGAGAGUCCUCCAGAGGGAAAUACACCUGGUCUGGCAUGUUUUCUCAAGCCAAGAGCACCCUUUCUCGACGUAGUGAUCUAGAUUAUGCUUCAAAAAAUGGAAAGGGUUUCGGCGAUGUAAUUUUGCAUCCUUCUCUUAAUAAAAGAAUUGAGCAGCUGGCAUCUGCAACUACGAACACAAAAGCACAUCAGGCUCCAUUCAGAAACAUGCUUUUUUAUGGCCCUCCAGGAACAGGAAAGACAAUGGCUGCCAGAGAGUUGGCUCGUAAAUCCGUAUGAUUUUGUACUUAACUUUUGGUCUUGUUGUUCUGGUUUAAUGAUUUUGUACAUUAGUAAGCAAUUGUUUCAAAUGGAAGUCCUCAGCAUAUUAGCAAAAUUAUCUCCUCAUUUAUCAGAUUUUUCCCAUUUUCCUGUUAAACUUUUUUUGCUGACAAUAACUUUCUCUACAAAUAUAUUUUUCACCUGACUUUCUUAAAUCUAUAAAAGAAACUAUUAAGGAAGACCUAGAGAUAUGUUAUAUGAUACUCCCUCUAGAAUGAAAUAUAAGCAAAAAUCAAAUGACGCCAUAAUGAUCUACUUCUUCUUCAAUGAAAUAUAAGCAAAAAUAGGAUUUAAAAAGUUGAUAAUAUAUGGUUGUUGUCUUUCUUAACUCAAUUCCAGGUCCUUGUUUCUGUGAAAUUUAGUAGAUACUAGAUACAAGUGAAUAUUCAGCACCAUGCUUCUGGUUCUUUAUGUUUUUACAAUAAUCAAAGUAUAUCCUGAACAUUUGACCUUAUGUGCUCA